CCUCCUUGAAAGCUUCUUCUCCAAAAUCAGGAAACAGCGUCUUUGUAAAGUACAAUUCAGAGUAAGCUAGCUCCCACAAUAAGAAGUUACUGAGCCUCUGUUCUCCCCCAGUUCUUAUGACUAAAUCAGGUGGUUUAGCAGACUUGGUAGCGAGUUCUUGCUCAAAUAAUUUGUUGUUGAUAUCCUCUAAAUUUAUAAGACCAUCCUUCACUUUACUGGCAAUGCUCUUGGUUGCUUGUAACAUGUCAUGUUUUCCUCCAUAGUUUAGUGCCAUCGUAAGAUGAAGUCCUUCAUUGCCUUUGGUCGCCUUUUCUGUUAACUCUAUGCCUUUCUGUAAUGUUAUCGGAAGUUUGGAUCUACCUCCAAUAACAGACACCCGUACUCCAAACCUGUUAUGUUUAAACUAAUGAGAAAAUUGAAAGCACUACUCUUUCUGUCUCAUAUAUACACAAGUAAGUACCUCAUAAAUUCUUCGAACAACUGUUCAUACAUUUUCAUCAAAAAAUCAACCUCCUCCUGCACAAAGUGCAAAUUGUUACUAGCUAGCCACACAAAUCAAAUACUUAAUAAAUUGGGACAAAGGAGUAGUAUACCUUAGAACGAUUCCAGUUUUCAGUAGAGAAAGCAAAAGCAGUGAUAACUUGUAUUCCAAGUUUGGUAGAAACAUUACAAAUAUUCAUAAGAUUAGGAGUAAUAAAUUUGUAACCCUCUUGCACAGGUAAUCCUCUAGCUUUAGCCCAUCUUCUGUGCCCAUCCAUUAUUAUAGCGACGUGUUUAGGGGUAAAUUCUGGAUGAACUAAUUGAUCAUCAUGCCUCAAACUCUUGGAGAAAUGGCCAUACCUAAAUAUAUCUGAUGAUUUCGUCGAUAGAAGACGACGAUCCAAAUUACAUGAUACUGGGAAGAACUGGGCUUGGGGGAGUACUAACAAAGAACUCAUUUAAUUUUCACUAAUCUUUGUUUGUACAUGGGUGUUGGCGGGUACAGAUGCACCAAAUAAAUAGGCAUAUGAAGUGAGUUACACCCACUGUUUUCAAUUUAUACAACACAUUUUAAAAGAUAUAUUGUUAAUCUGUCUAAUAGAAAAUGUCAUAUUUUUAUAAUUGAAAACAAUUUUAUUUCAAAAUAUGUUUAUAAAGUUAGAUUGCAUUAAAAUUAACAACACAAUUCUUUUAUGUUUCAUUAUAGAACGACUUUAAUUAAUUAGAGAAUAAUAAUUGAUCUAUGACUAUUUUACUAUACUAAUCAUAUUAAUUAAUGUUUAAUAUUUGGUCUUGAAAAAUAAGUAACUAAUACGAAAAAAUAAAUUUAAAGGAUAUAAAAGCCGAUUGAUCAAUAUUUAAAAGAUAUUUUGAUCAAAUACUUUUGGCACUCUUAAAUAAAUAAUUAGACUAGUAUAAUUUAGUAAAUAGUUAAUUGACAAGUCAUUUGGUUCGAUAAUCCAAUUCUUUUAAGAGCCACUAUACCACGUACACUUGCGUGUGCAAUUGGAGCAACACACAGAGUAUCACAGUGAGAAAUAUCCUCUUCCUUUUUGCUUGUUGAAUCUUUACUACCAUUAACCAAGGAAGGGAGGAAAAAAUUCUGUCCAUCAUCAAUUACAAUAGGGAGGAAAAUCUAGAAUUUUUAUCAUUUUCCAUGUUUCCACUGCUUGUUUUAUAUUUUUCCAUUUUGGCUAAAAUAUUCCAUUUCCUGCUGAGACAUAAUUUUUUUUGCUUCCCUACUAAACUACAUGAAAGUUAUAAAAAAAACCCAGCAAUGCUGGUGUUUAUGCCAAAUCUUCAUAUGUAUAACUAGCAUUGCUAUCCCUUUUCCUUUGUAAGUUAGCCAUAAUCCUGAUUUAUGGGAACCAAUAUGGAAAUGUUCAAAGCCUUUUUAAAAUGAAUCAAACUAUGAACAAUUGAAGAUAGUAAAUAUGCUCGUACUUUUUUCUUAUCUCAUGUGGUAGUGUAAAUAAGUGCUACUUUGGAAUCAUGGAAAGGAAGGAUUGCAUAAAGAUAAAUUGCAUAUUUGUGUUUUCAUUGGAUCAUUUUGGUUAGUGAUUGCAUUGAGGACAUAUUGCAAUAAGCUCCAGACUUCACUUAUUUUUCUAAAAUAUAUUUCUUAGAAAACAUUUUUCAUAAAACACAUUUUCCUUCAUACCAAACCCAUCAUACGUCAGAUUGAAAUGAAAGGUUCUAAGUGAAAGAGAAAUGAAUAUGACCGACCAUGUGCUUCUUUUUUUGACAACUCAACAAGAUAUUUUAUUUUAUUUUUUAUAACCGAAAAAUCCGUUUGUGACCCGUCCUUUGGACCAAUCACAACCUUCUAAACUCGGUGGAUAAUGGGUCCACCCCUCUACCUUUCUCCACUUAAAUACCAGGCUUCGCUUUGCAUGGUGUGGGGUUUGAACUUGUGACCUAAGCCACAAAUCCUCCACCUUUUGCCACUUGAGCUAGGCCUUGGGGGCUGAAAGGUUCUAAGUGAAAGAGAAAUGAAUAUGACCAUGUGCUUCAAUUUUUGACAACUCAACAAGAUAUAUAUUUUUUUUAUAACCGAGAAAUCCGUCUGUGACCUGCCCUUUGGACCAAUCACAGCCGUCUAAACUCGGUGGAUAAUGGGUCCACCCCUCUACCCCUCUCCACUUAAAUAUCAGGCUUCGCUUUGCAUGGUGUGGGGUUUGAACUUGUGACCUAAGCCACAAAUCCUCCACCUAUUGCCACUUGAGCUAGGCCUUGGGGCCUGAAAGGUUCUAAGUGAAAGAGAAAUGAAUAUGACCANNNNNNNNNNNNNNNNNNNNNNNNNNNNNNNNNNNNNNNNNNNNNNNNNNNNNNNNUUUUUUUUUGAUAACCGAGAAAUCCGUCUGUGACUCACCCUUUGGACCAAUCACAGCCUUCUAAACUCGGUGGAUAAUGGGCCCACCCCUCUACCCUUCUCCACUUAAAUACCGGGCUUCGUUUUGCAUGGUAUGGGAUUGAACCUGCGACCUAAGCAACAAAUCCUCCACCUUUUGCCACUUGAGCUAGGCCUUGGGGGCUAAAAGGUUCUAAGUGAAAGAGAAAUGAAUAUGACCACGUGUUUCAAUUUUUGACAACUCAACAAGAUAUAUUUGUUUUUUAGAACCGAGAAAUUCAUCUGUGACCCGCCCUUUGGACCAAUCACAGCCUUCUAAACUCAGUGGAUAAUGGGGCCACCCCUCUACCCUUGUCCACUUAAAUACCGGGCUUCGCUUUGCAUGGUGUGGGGCAUGAACCUGCGACCUAACCCACGAAUCCUCUACCUUUUGACACAUGAGCUAGGCCUUGGGGGCUGAAAGGUUCUAAGUGAAAGAGAAAUGAAUAUGACCACGUGCUUCAAUUUAUGACAACUCAACAAGUUUUAUUUUUUUUUGAUAACAGAGAAAUCCGUCUGUGACCCGCCCUUUGAAUCAAUCACAGCCUUCUAAACUCAGUGGAUAAUGGGCCCACCCCUUNNNNNNNNNNNNNNNNNNNNNNNNNNNNNNNNNNNNNNNNNNNNNNNNNNNNNNNNNNNNNNNNNNNNNNNNNNNNNNNNNNNNNNNNNNNNNNNNNNNNNNNNNNNCACAAAUCCUCCACUUUUUGCCACUUGAGCUAGGCCUUAAUUGGGGGUUGAAAGGUUCAAAGUGAAAGAGAAAUGAAUAUGACCAUGUGCUUCAAUUUUUAACAACUCAAGAAGAUAUAUAUUUUUUUUUUAUAACCGAGAAAUUCAUUUGUGACCCGCCUUUUGGACCAAUCACAGCCUUCUAAACUCGGUGGAUAAUGGGGCCACCCCUCUACCCUUGUCCACUUAAAUACCGGGCUUCGCUUUGCAUGGUGUGGGGCAUGAACCUGCGACCUAAGCGACAAAUCCUCCACCUUUUGCUACUUGAGCUAGGCCUUGGGGGAUGAAAGGUUCUAAGUGAAGGAGAAAUGAAUAUGACCAUGUGCUUCAAUUUUUGACAACUCAACAAGAUAUUUUAGAUGUCCUUAAUUUGUUGCAUUAUCUUUAACUUUAGUUGGAUCCACGAAAUAAAAAUUUAAAACCACACAUUCGUAUAUUCUCUAAUAUCACACAUAAAUAACCUCAAUUGAUAUUAUUAUUUAUUAUUUAAAUAAAUUAAUAAUAAUUUCAAUACAUGGCGUUUAGGUGUGAUAAGAGACUAAACAAAUGUGUAUGUGCAGAAACUCAACUAGAAUUUAGAACUUUUUUAGUUCAAACUAACCAUCAAACUUAUAAUCAUACAUAUAUUUAAUAAAUAUCUUAAUACAAAUACAUAAUAAAAAUUAAAAUUAUUGAGUUCGUCUAAAUUUUAAGAGCCAUAUUUGUCAAUAUGUUUAACGUAUACAAUUCUAUAAUCUUAGUACAAUGCAUUUAAAUCUGACGAUUAUGGGACAACUCUUUUAGAAUGUUUUAAACUAAAAGAGGAGCAAAUGAGAGAGAAUUUUUUUUUAAUUACAACCGCUUUAUAGAAAUUCUAAAUAGUUGUCAAAACUCAAACCUAUAAAGUUACGAACUUCAUAAUAUUAACCUUACAAGAUUAAUGAGUUUUCUCAAACCUACUAAAAAUGUGGCAUAAUUAAAAUUCACAGAAAAUACGAGAACACAAAGCAACAGAAGAUAUAAGAGGCCGACAUUUUAUUAACCACUCAAGAGUUUGAAGUGCCUGUCGACAUGUUUUUCGGACACUUUUGAGUGUUGCUAAAUGACCACAAUUAUGUUGCCCAAAAAUGACCACAAAUAUAAAAGGGAAAAAAACACUUUUGGUAGACGGUGAGGUUUUAUUGAUAAAUCAUGAAAACAUUUAAAUUUAUAAUAUGUUGAUCAAGUCGAAUUGUUGAUUAAUAUUUUAAGUCAAAAAUAUAUAAUUUAAAUAAAGUUCAAAUUAUAUUUGGGCAAGUCUAUUAAGUUGACAAGACGAGCCCAACUCACAAUCUUCAAGCCCAAGGUCCUCUAAAUUACUUGGACCAAAAUACCCUAAAACCCGCUAGCUCACUCCUAUAUAAAGGGGUCUUCAUAAGAUCAGAACACACAAACAAAAAUACAUAGAUAAUCAAUGCGCUUCAAUGAUGAUCCACAAGUCUUUCGCAUACAAUGAAGUCUUUGCUCCAAGUGAUGAGCCGCAAGUAUUUCAUCAAGUCAAGAACAAUUGUGAAGAGAAGAAUCAGCGGAUUACAUAUCUUUUCUUAAAGAUUUCAUAAAGAUUGUAACAUUCGCACAAAUUCAAAUUCAAAUAUUAUUGUUUGGUUGCUAUUUUCCUUUCUUGUUUGUUGUAUUUUAGGAUAACACCAAAACCUGGUUAUCACAUGUUCAAGGCGCCAAUGUAUUAAUGCAGAAUUGAAAGAUAAGUACAAGUCUCAAUGUCGUCUUUGUAUCUCGAAUAGAACAAAACAUAAUGUAAGGAACAAGAGGGCCCGCCGAAAAGACAAGCAGUUACCUCUCAAUGUAUCCUCAGCCUCGGAAAUAGAUGAAAGAGAAAUGUCACACGAAUCUGGACUCGAAACCUACAUAGUGUAGUAGCUAGGAGUGAGUACCAAAACAACACGGUACUCAACAAAUAAACCACUAAAAUAAGGUAAAACUAGCUAGAAAACGAAAAACUCCUUUCAGCCCAACCAAACCCCCAAAACUACAACCUGCAUAUAUAAAAGCAGCACAGCCUAACAAUUCACAGUAAAUAGCUCACAAGGUUCCAUAGUCUCACAUCAAUAGUUACACAUCGUCAAAUCACAAGUAUCAAGUCAUCAAUCAUAAGAAAUAAGAUUAUCGAGUACAACAAUCAAGUAUACCAAAUACAAGUAUCAAGAUUAUCAUGCACAAUUUACAAUCGGGACUCAUGGGGACUACUCAUAACCAAGGUACUUAUCGGCAAUGACCUCGGCAUCACAAUACUCACCGGCAAUGACACUGGCAUCAAUAACACUCAUCGAAAAUAACCUCGAUAUCAAUAACACUCGUCGGUAAUGACCUCGACAUCAAUAAUACUCCUUGGCAAUGACCUCAACAUCAAUAACAUUCGCGGGAAAUACCCAACAUCAAUCACAAUAACAUCUCACAGUGUUCUAGAACUAAUGCAAAUAGUCUUGUUCACGCAAUAAUGAAGAGAUGGCAAUUUCAAGCAAUUCACAUCCACACAAUACUAUCAAGUAUCACAUCAAUCAGCGAAUCAAUAUCAAUACUCAAGACAAUUCACAAUGCAAACACCAUUAUCAACAUGUUGUCUUUUUUUCAUUAACCCCACCUUUAUCAUUAUGGUUAUUCAAUUUGAGCAAUUUAACCCAUCACCUUAUUUUUAUUACUCCCAACACAUAUAAGAAAAAGAGUUCAAAAUUCCACAAGUCUUAAUAAGAUUUAGAAGUUCACUAGCCUCAAUUCAAUUAAAAGUCAAUUCAAGACUUGAGCCUUUCCUUUCCGAACAAUAUCCAAAGUCACAAAAUUUAAUUCAAUCAAGUAAUCACAAUAAGAUUUCGGAAAUAACAACACCCAUAGCAUACACUUUGAAAAAUGGGUCAAGUCAGCUAAAAAUUCAAUUCCAAAAAUGAGGUUUGAACCCAAAAUCUUUACUUGAAAAUGUCGCCCAAGGCAUUUGAAACUCAUUGGUGAAAAUCAUUCCAAAAAAGGAAUUAAAAUCAGUUCAAAAUCACCAUUUAAUUUUACUUUACAACUCAAGUUCUUGAAAAACAUUGCCAUUUGCCAAUCAAAAUCUCAAAUUUUGGUGUUAAAAUCCAUGAAUGACAUGAUGGAAUUGAAAUUUUAGGGUCACAAAAGCUUACCCAAAUGAUUAGCACAAGAGAUCUCUUCAAAAUUACCUCCAAGGAUUUUUCAUAACUCAAAAUGGAAAAAAAUGGGGGUAAAACCCCAUAAUGGCACAUAAAAAACCCUUUUUUAAGUCGCUUAAGCAAACCCUGAGAAAUACUCGACCCUCGCUUUCGCAGACUGGCCUUCACUUUCGCGAACUGGCAUUCGCUAAUGCAAAGAUCGCGAUCGUGAACAAGCCUUCGCUUCUGCGAAGGUCUGACUUGAUCCUUUGCAAAAGCGAACCGGUCUUCGCUAAUGUGACCCUCACAAAAGCGAAGACCCUUCGCAAUCGCGAGGUAGCAAACAACAGAAUAAACAACUAACUUUCAAAUCAUCAAAUGGACUUUCGGGAUUCGUUCGAAACCCCUACACACGAACCAUUUAUGAAAUUUGACUCUACUCGAUGCUCCGAACUCAAUGGAACCAUCAAAACACGAAUUUGAGGUCUCCUUGACCUAAAACUCGCGAAAGUCACAAGAAACGAACAUGACGCCUAAAAAGGCUAAAUCAAGCUCGGGACCUCCAAAAAUUCAACCAAGACCUCCUCUAAGUCUAAAAUCAUCCUCUGAAUCAAAUAGAACUCUCGAAAUUCCAAUUUGAGUAUCCGAACCCCGAAUGUUGACCAAAGUCAAUCCAAAUACUAAAAUUUCACAUUUUCCAACUUAGGACCGCAAAUCCUCAAAAAGACUCCGAAUUUGCAACCGAUGACUCUUUGACUCUAAUUUCCAUAUUUCGAGACUGAUGGAAUCGACAAAAUUUCAUUUCGAUACUCGAAUCUCUAAAAGACACCGGAACCACUUUUUAACAACUUAGCCAUUUGAAUUUUAAAAAAAUUAUAAUUCACAACUUUUUACUCAAGCUCAAAAUCAAUUUCAAAAUUCUAUCAGAAAUGAAUUGGGAUUAAUAUCAAGAGGGAUAAAACGCUUUACGAAAAUUUUGAAAAAUGACCAUCCGAAUCAUUACAAUUAUUAAAUUUAUAGUUAGAUAUUUAUACAUAUUUAAUAGGUGUUCUAAUACAAAUACUCCCUCCGUCCCCAUAUUAUAAGUCACCUUUUUCAUUUGCACUUGCAUUAAGAAAUAAGGUAAUUUUACCGUUAUGCCCUUAUUUAAUGUUUGCUUAUGACAACUUUGUAAUAAAUGAUGAAAUGUUAAAUUUAAAAAAUAUAAAUAGCAUUUGGAUGACUAUUUAAAUUUUACUUUUUGGAGCCAAAAUUUUUUUCACCAAUUGAUCCAAAAAUUUAAAAAACAAAGUUUUUUCCACCUCAAUUUUCCUAUAUAUUUUGUGUAAAAUGUUUUUUAUAGUUUUAUAUAUAAAUUCUUAAAGCAAACAUGACAACAUCACAAAAUAUUCAAAUUCCAUUACUUCAAAUUGAUCUAAACUUUCCUGCUGAAUCUGAUGUUAUUGAUAAUGAAAUUAGACGACAAAUGAAUUUUAGUUCUAGUUCGACAAAUCAUUUGUUUUUUUAUUUAAACACAGAGGCGCAUGUUGAAGAAGAUUUGAAUACAAAUAUUGGUUUGUUGUUUUGUUUAAAAUUUUGGUUCAUAUUUUAAUUGUUUUAUUUAUAUUUUUAUGCUUAAUUCAUUUUUACAGUACCAUUUGAAGGGCUGCAAACUGCAGCAGAAGAAGAUAUAUUAUCGGAAGAGUCAAAUACAAAUAUUGGUCUGUUGAAAUUUCUGUUAUUUUUUUAUUUCACAUUUCAUUAAUUCCUGUUUAACUACAUUAGAGAUGAUUCAUUUAGUUGUAACCUCCAUUUUAUCUUUUGUGUUCAUAAUUUUUUUUCUUUUUCAAUAAAUAACAGAUGAAAACUUAAAUGAUGACAACGUAAACGAAGAGUCAUCAGGAUCAGCAAUGACAAGAAAAUUAUUAAAUAAUGAUGAGCGGAGAGCAUUAUAUGAAAUGCUACUCAGAAAGAGUAUCAAUGGAAAAUUGUAAAAAACUGAUCAGCGUGUGAUUAGAAAAUUAUUAAAGAAUAUUUUUCAUCUUUUAUUUUAAUUGUUUGUUGAUAUUUUUUUUAAAACAAGAUUUUAUAGAAUAAGUAGUGAAUAAAGAAAGUAGUUAAUUAAUGAAUGAAGUACUCUCCCAAUGAAAUUAAUUACUUGUAAAUUUCCUAGGUUAGUCAAAGUAAAUAUUUUUCAAGAUUAAUUAAUUAAUCAAUCAAGGGUAUAAUGGGUAAAAUAUGGUAAUUUAUGCAUAAAUUUUAUAAAAUGACAUAUAUUAUGGUCCAACUAUUUUUAGAAAGGGGUGACUUAUAAUAUAGGACAGAGAGAGUACAAAAUAAAAAUUAUUGAAUCCGUCCAAAUUUUAACUAAUACUCUCUUUUCGCCCUUGUAUAUAUGGCAUAUUUGUAUGGCCGCCGAUAGAGCUAUCUUUGUCAAUGUGUCUAACGUUCUUCAUAAUCUUAGUACAGUACUAUUUAUUAGAUGUGAGGCGUAUGGGGACAAUCUCCAUGUGAACCAUAUAAAGAAAAGACAUAAUAUCAUACACUUGUGAGGUAAUUAGAUGCUUUGAAGGGAACCGUGGCUAGAAUUUUUACUAUUAUAGAAGAGUGACUUUAAUUUUGGAAUCAACAUGUGUGCUUUGUCAUUUCAUGAUUGGUUGUUUUUUUUUUUUUUGUUUAUUCCAUAUUGCAUAAUAUUAAGAGAUCCACAAAAUUAUCUAUGCACAAUUAUUAAUGAAUCUAUUCCUUUGUACUAUUUGUUCAUAUUUUUAUUUACAAAGUUUUAAAAAAAAUCAUAAACAAAAAGAGCACUUUACUAAUUUACCUUUUAAUUCUUUUUAAUAUUUUUUCGUUUACUUUUUACUUAUCACAUUUGAACUUGACAUAUUCAUUAAAAAAACAAUGAUUGACAUGAUUAUUGAAGAGUAUUUUUACUAAUUUACCUUUCAAUUAUUUUUAAUACUUUUUUUCGUUUACUUUUUACUUAUCACAUUUGAACUUGACGUAUCCAUUAAGAAAACAAUGAUUGACAUGACUAUUUUACCACAUUAACCCUAAUAAGUAGUAAUAAUUGAUGUUAGUAUUGUUGGAUAUUUUGUAAUAUAUAAAAGUCUUAAAUUAAACAAAUUGUUCAUGAAAGAACAUGAUUCUUAUAAAAAGACAUUUGAUCAUGAAAGAACAUGACUCUUAUGAAAAGUCAUACGUUCAUGAUAGAACAUAACUCUUAUGAAAAGUCAUCUCUUAAGUUCUAUAAAUAUAAAGACUCUCUAUAGGUUGUCUAAGAAAAAUUUGCAUGUAUAAAUAAAAGAUUUUGUAUUUGUUUGUAUUUUUCCAAUAUGUAUACGGGCAAUAUCUCUUUAAAGAAAGUGAUUUUACACGCCUCAAAGCCAUCUUCUUCGUCAAUUAUAUUUCCUAUUAUUUUUUCUAACAAGUAUUAAGUCUUGGAAACUAAUUUAGAAAAAAAGUAAUUAAUGUUAAGGAUAAACCGCUACUGAAAUUUGAACCCUUUAUUUUAUGGUAGAUGGAACACUUAAUGGAAACUAUAAUAAUUCAUAUUCGAAUCAAAUGAAUUCAAUUUAAUAAAUAUUAUUUAAAUUAAUUGAAUUAUAAUUAUCUUUAUUUACAUAAGGCCCGUGCUUAUAAAUUCAACUUUUAGUUUUAAAUUUUUAAAGUGACAAUUCAUGACCAUCUUUAAACACAAACAAAAGUUCAAAUGACCAUAAAUGCAUAAUUAUAUGGCUCAAAAGAUGACCAUAAAUAUAAAAAGGAAAAAUUAUAUAAUUACACGAUUUAAAAUAAUAUAAUUUUAAAAAAUUUCUAUUAUUUAAAUUAAUUGCAAGAAAUUUCUCUUUCCUUCUUUCUCUCUUAACAUCCGAAUACAUCACUCCAUCUCUAUCAGAUACAUUAUAACUUUGUUUGUGUACAUUGUAUCUGGUAUAAUUAAUGUUAUUGUUAAUAUAUAACCCCAAUUAUUUCAAACCUAAAUCAAUAUGAAUCUGUUUUAUAGUUAUGUUAUCUGAUAAUAUAUAACUUAUGUAUCGUUAAAAAAAAUCUUAUGUGUCGUUUUUUGUUAUGUACCGAGCGAAGGAUCAAUGUAUCCGCGAGUUAUGAAAAAUUUGAGAUUAUUUUAAUUUUGAAAAUUUUCGAGAUAAAAUGUAAUUAACGCACAAAAUGUUGCGGUUUCCGUACUUUAUACAUAUAAAAAAAAAACUAUGCUAACUUUUUUUCUCUAAAGCCAAAAUUUUUACUUCACUAUUUUCUCUGAUCAUCUUUAUUUGUGGCUAUUUUAGAAAUAGAUUUUUAUUUUUAUUUGUCACUUUUAACACAUCAAGAUUAAAUAAUUUAUUUUUCAUAUAUUUUACCUUUAAUAUUAAUGACUUAUUUCUCAAAAAAUAAUCACCACGUAAUACUAUAAUAUUAAUUAAUAAAGAUAGUGUGGUAAAAUAGUUAUAUCAAUUAUUACUUUUUAAUAGAUAUGUUAAACUCAACUAUGACAAGUAAAAAUGGAUUGAAGGAAUAUGAUUUCUUCUGUUUUUGGCUGAACACUUUGCCUUUUUAUUUUUUUAGUAUUCAUAGAAAUACAUGUGGCUAAAAGAUAGUUACAAGCUUUAGAUGGUAUGCGACUUAUAUUAAAACAAAAUAUUUACUGCUACAAAAUAGUGGAUAAUUAAAGGUGAUUAUGUCCAAAAGGAUGUGCAAAUAUGGGCAAUUCUCUAGCCUAUUGCUACAAAAUAGUGGAUAAUUAAAGGUCAUUUUGAAAAUCUUACACUUCAGUUUGAUAAACUUAGGUUGAAGUCUUAUAAGUCUGUGUCUAUGCUGAAAGGAAAGUAUGGCCUCCUUGAUAACUUGUAUUCCAAGUUUGGUAGAAACAUUACAAAUAUUCUUAAGAUUAGGAGUAAGAAAUUUGUGACCCUCUUGCACAGGUAAUCCUCUAGCUUUAGCCCAUCUUCUGUUCCCAUCCAUUAUUAUAGCGACGUGUUUAGGGGUAAAUUCUGGAUGAACAGAUUGAUCAUCAUGCCUCAAACUCUUGGAGAAAUGAAGACGACGAUCCAAAUUAUAUGAUACUGGGAAGAACUGGGCUUGGGGGAGUACUAACAAAGAACUCAUUUAAUUUUCACUAAUCUUUGUUUGUUCAUGGGUGUUAGCGGGUACAGAUGCACCAAAUAAAUAGGCAUAUGAUGUGAGUUGUUUCAAUUUAUACGACACAUUUUAAAAAAUAUAUUGUUAAUCUGUCUAAUAGAAAAUGUCAUAUUUUUAUACUAAUCAUAAUAAUCAAUAUUUAAAAGAUAUUUUGAUCAACCAAUAUUUUGAUCAAACACUUUUGGCACUCUUAAAUAAAUAAUGAGACUAGUAUAAUUUAGUAAAUAGUUAAUUGACAAGUCAUUUGGUUCGAUAAUCCGAUUCUUUUAAGAGCCACUAUACCACGUACACUUGCGUGUGCAAUUGGAGCAACAAACAUAGUAUCAUAGUGAGAAAUAUCAUCUUCCUUUUUGCUUGUUGAAUCUUUACUACCAUUAACCAAUGAAGGGAGGAAAAAAUUAAUUAUGUCCAUCAUCAAUUACAAUAGGGAGGAAAAUCUAGAAUUUUUAUCAUUUUCCAUGUUUCCCACUGCUUGUUUUAUAUUUUUCCAUUUUGGCUAAAAUAUUCCAUUUCUAAUUUUUUUUUUGCUUCCCUACUAAACUACAUGAAAGUUAUAACCACCCUUCUACCCUUCUCCACUUAAAUAUCGGGCUUCGCUUUGCAUAGUGUGGGGAUUGAACCUGCGACCUAAGCCACAAAUCCUCCACCUUUUUGCCAUUUAAGCUAGGCCUUGGGGGCUGAAAGGUUCUAAGUGAAAGAGAAAUGAAUAUGACCAUGUGCUUCAAUUUUUGACGAAUCAAUAAGAUUUUUUUUUUAUAACCGAGAAAUUCAUUUGUGACCCGCCUUUUGGACCAAUCACAGCCUUCUAAACUCGGUGGAUAAUGGGCCCACCCCUCUACCCUUCUCCACUUAAAUACCGAGAUUCACUUUGAAUGGUAUGGGGUUUGAACCUUCGACCUAAGCCACAAAUCCUCCACUUUUUGCCACUUGAGCUAGGCCUUAAUUGGGGGUUGAAAGGUUCAAAGUGAAAGAGAAAUGAAUAUGACCAUGUGCUUCAAUUUUUGACAACUCAACAAGAUAUUUUUUGUUUUGAUAACUGAGAAAUCCGUCUGUGACCCUCCCUUAGGACCAAUUACAGUCUUCUAAACUCGGUGGAUAAUGGGACCACCCCUCUACCCUUCUCCACUUAAAUACAGGGUUUCGAUUUGCAUGGUGUGAGGCUUGAACCUGCGACCUAAGCCACAAAUCCUCCACCUUUUGCCACUUGAGCUAGGCCUUAGGAGAUGAAAGGUUCUAAGUGAAAGAGAAAAUGAAUAUGACCAUGUGCUUCAAUUUUUGACAAAUCAACAAGAUAUUUAUUUUUAUAACUGAGAAAUCCAUCUGUGACUCGCCUUUUGGACCAAUCACAGCCUUCUAAACUCGGUGGAUAAUGGACCCACCCCUCUAUCAUUCUCCACUUAAAUAUCCGGCUUCACUUUGCAUGGUAUGGGACAUGAACCUGCGACCUAAGCCACAGAUCUUCGACCUUUUGCUACUUGAGCUAGGCCUUGGGGGCUGAAAGGUUCCAAGUGAAAGAGAAAUGAAUAUGACCAUGUGCUUCAAUUUUUGACAAAUCAACAAGAUAUUUUUUUUUGAUAACCGAGAAAUCCGUCUAUGACCCGCCUGUAAACCAAUCACAGUCUUCUAAAUUCGGUGGAUAAUGGUACCACCCCUCUACUUUUCUCCACUUAAAUAUCGGGCUUCACUUUGCAUGGUGUGGGGCUUAAAUCUACGACCUAAGCCACAAAUCCUUCACCUUUUGCCACUUGAGCUAUUCCUUGGGGGAUGAAAGGUUCUAAGUGAAAGAGAAAUGAAUAUGGCCAUGUGCUUCAAUUUUUGACAAAUUAAUAAGAUAUUUUUUUUAUAACCGAGAAAUCCAUUUGUGACCCGCCUUUUGGACCAAUCACAGCCUUCUAAACUCGGUGGAUAAUGGACCCACCCCUCUACCCUUCUCCACUUAAAUACCGGGCUUCGCUUUGCAUGGUAUGGUGCUUGAACCUACGACCUAAGCCACAAAUCCUCCAUCUUUUGCCACUUGAGCUAGGCCUUGGGGGCUGAAAGGUUCUAAGUGAAAGAGAAAUGAAUAUGACCAUGUGCUUCAAUUUUUGACAACUCAACAACAUAUUUUUUUUUUGAUAACCGAGAAAUCCGUAUGUGACCCGCCCUUUGGACUAAUCACAACCUUCUAAACUCGGUGGAUAAUGGGACCACCCCUCUACCCUUAUCCACUUAAAUACCGGGCUUCGCUUUGCAUGGUGUGGGGCUUGAACUUGCGACCUAAGCCACAAAAUCCUCCACCUUUUGCCACUUGGGCUAGGCCUUGGGGGCUGAACGGUUUUAAGUGAAAGAGAAAUGAAUAUGACCAUGUGCUUCAAUUUUUGACAAAUCAACAAGAUAUUUUUUUUAAAAUAAUCGAGAAAUCCGUCUGUGACCCGGCUUUUGGACCAAUCACAGCCUUCUAAACUCGGUGGAUAAUGGGCCCACCCCUCUACCCUUCUCCACUUAAAUAUCGGACUUCACUUUGCAUGGUGUGGGGCUUGAACCUGCGACCUAAGCCACAAAUCCUCCACCUUUUGCUACUUAAGCUAGGCCUUGGGGAAAGAGAAAUGAAUAUGACCAUGUGCUUCAAUUUUUGACAACUCAACAAGAUAUUUUAGAUCUCCUUAAUUUGUUGUAUUGUCUCUAACUUUAGUUGGACCACGGAAUAAAAAUUUAAAACCACACAUUCGUAUAUUCUCUAAUAUCACACAUAAAUAACCUCAAUUGAUAUUAUUAUUUAUUAUUUAAAUAAAUUAAUAAUAAUUUCAGUACAUGGCGUUUACGUGUGAUAAGAGACUAAACAAAUGUGUAUGUGCAGAAACUCAACUAGAAUUUUAGAACUUUUUUAGUUUCAAACUUACCAUCAAACUUAUAAUCAUACAUAUAUUUAAUAAAUAUCCUAAUACAAAUACAUAAUAAAAAUAAAAUUAUUGAGUCCGUCUAAAUUUUUAAGAGCUAUAUCUGUCAAUAUGUUUAACGUAUACAAUUCUAUAAUCUUAGUGCAAUACAGUUAGAUCUGACGAUUAUGGGACAACUCUUUUAGAAUGUUUUAAACUAAAAGAGGAGCAAAUGAGAGAGAAAAAAAAUUAAUUACAAUCCCUUUAUAUAAUUUCUAAAUAGUCAAACCUAUGAAGUUACGAACUUCACAAUAUUAUAAGGGAAAAUUUUCCAACCUUACAAGAUUAAUGAGUUUUCUGAAACCUACUAAAAAUGUGGCAUAAUUAAAAUUCACAGAAAUCGAGACACAAAGAAACAGAAGAUAUAAGAGGCCGACAUUUUAUUAACCACUCAAGAGUUUGAAGUGCAUGUCACAUGUUUUUCGGACACUUUGAGUGUUGCUAAAUGACCACAAUUAUGUGGCCCAAAAAUGACCACAAAUAUAAAAGGGAAAAAAACACUUUUGGUGGACGGUGAAGUUUUAUUGAUAAAUCAUGAAAUUUUUUAAAUUUAUAAUAUAUUGACCAAGUCGAAUUGUUGAUUAAUAAAGUCGAAUUAAUGUUUUAAAUAAAAAAUAUAUAAUUUAAAUAAAGUCCAAAUUAUAUUUGGGCAAAUCUAUUAAGUUGACAAGAUGAGCCCAACUCACAUUCUUCAAGCCCAAGAUCCUCUAAAUUACUUGGAUCAAAAUACCCUAAAACCCUAGCUCACGCCUAUAUAAAGGGGUCUUCAUAAGAUCAGAACACACAAACAAAAAUACAUAGAUAAUCAAUGCACUUCAAUGGUGAUCCGCAAGUCUUUCACAUACAAAGAAGUCUUUGCUCCAAGUGAUGAGCCGCAAGUAUUUCAUCAAGUCAAGAACAAUUGUGAAAAGAAGAAUCAGGGGAUUACAUAUCUUUUCUUAAAGAUUUCAUAAAGAUUGUAACAUUUGCACAAAUUCAAAUUCAAAUAAUUAUUGUUUGGUUGCUAUUUUCCUUUCUUGUUUGCUGUAUUUUAGGAUAGCACCAAAAACCUGGUUAUCACAUGUACAAGGCGCCAAUGUAUUAAUACAGAAUUGAAAGAUAAGUACAAGUCUCAAUGUCUUUGUAUCUCGAAUAGAACAAAACAUAAUCUAAGGAACAAGAGGGCCCGCCGGAAAGACAAGCAGUUACCUCUCAGUGUAUCCUCAGCCUCGGAAAUAGAUGAAAGAGAAAUGUCACACAGAUUUGGACUCAAAACCUACAUAGUGUAGUAGCUAGGAGUGAGUACCAAAACAACACAGUACUCAACAAAUAAACCACUAAAACAAGGUAAAACUAGCUAGAAAAUGAAAAAUUCCUUUCACCCCAACAAAACCCCAAAAACUACAACAUGCAUAUAUAAAAGCAGCACAACCUAACAAUUCACAAUAAAUAGCUCACAAGGUUCCAUAGUCUCACAUCAAUAGUUACAUAUCGUCAAAUCACAAGUAUCAAGUCAUCAAUCAUAAGUAAUAAGAUUAUCGAGCACAACAAUCAAGUAUACCAAAUGCAAGUAUCAUGAUUAUCAUGCACAAUUAACAAUCGGGACUCAUGGGGAAUACUCAUAACCAAAGUACUUAUCGGCAAUGACCUCGGCAUGACAAUACUCAUCGGCAAUGACACCGACAUCAAUAACACUCGUCGAAAAUAACCUUGAUAUCAAUAACACUCGUCGGUAAUGACCUCGAUAUCAAUAAUACUCAUUGGCAAUGACCUCAACAUCAAUAACAUUCGCGGGAAAUACCCCAACAUCAAUCACAAUAACAUCUCACAGUGUUAUAGAACCAAUGCAAAUAGUCUUGUUUACGCAAUAAUGAAGAGAUGACAAUUUCAAGCAAUUCACAUCCACACAAUACUAUCGAGUAUCACAUCAAUCAGUGAAUCAAUAUCAACACUCAAGACAAUUCACAAUGCUAACACUAGGGGUGUACAAAAUCGAACCGAAAAUUGAACCAAACCGCAAAUUGAGAGUAAAAAAUCCGACUAGUGGUUGGUUUGACUUGGUUUGGUAUUGAAUAAAAAAACCCGACUAUAUUUGGUUUGGUUUGGUUUUAACUAAAAAAACCAACACGAGACCAAACCAACCCGACAUUAUAUAUAAUUUUAAAAAUUUUAUUUUAUACAUAAAUACUUUGAUAUUAUUUUUAAAUAUUUCAUAUACUUUUUCAUUGUUUUUAUCUUUUAAUAUAUUAUUUCAAGUUUGAAACUUAGAAUUCUGAAUGGUUCAAUAAAGAUUAUAGUCCACGGAUGUUGGUAAUUAUAAUAAACCUUAAAUCAAAAUCAAAUUAAUACUAAUGCAAAAUAAAAAUCAAUUUAACCCUAAGAAUGACAAUAGUAUUGAAUAUUUGUUCUUUGGUUUUACAUUGGUUUAGACAAUUCAAAUACAUAAUCUAAUUUUAAUUUCAUUUAAUAUUUAGUCAUGUAACUAAUACUUAUUAAACUUAUUUUAUCAUGAUUUAAUACUUUUAAAUUAUGAUCAUUUUCAUUAUGACUUGUUAAUUUGCAAUAUUUGUUUUACGUGAUUUCAUUAUUAUUAUUUUUUUGUUGGAUAUUUUAGUGUCAUUACUCAUAUCAUAUUUGUGUUAUUUUCUUAAGAAACACCUUAGAUAAUUGUAUUUUUUUUGUUGGAUAUGUUUGUAUGAAUACUUUACUGGAAAAAUCCGAAAAACUCGAAAAAUUUUGAAAAAACCCGAGGUUGAAAAACACGAGUUUUAUUGAUUUGGUUUAUAAAUUUAAAAAUCUGACACAAAUGGUUUGGUUUGAUAUUUGAAAUCCCGAACCAACCCGCUCAUGUACACCUCUAGCAAACACCAUUAUCAACAUGUUGUCUUUUUUUCAUUAACCCCGCCUUUAUCAUUAUGGUUAUUCAAUUUGUGCAAUUUAACCCAUCACCUUAUUUUCAUUACUCCCAACACGUAUAAGAAAGAGAGUUCAAGAUUCCACAAGUUUUAACAAGAUUUAGAACUUCACUUGCCUCAAUUCAAAUAAAAGUCAAUUCAAGACUUGAGCCUUUCCUUUCCAAACAAUAUCCAAAGUCACAAAAAUUAAUCAAUCAAGUAAUCACAAUUAGAUUUCGGAAAUAACAACACCCAUAGCAUACACUUUGAAAAAUGGGUUAAUUCAGCUUAAAAAUUCAAUUCCAAAAAUGAGGUUUGAACCCAAAAUCUUUACCUGAAAAUCAUGUCACCCAAGGCAUUUGAAACUCAUUGGUGAAAAUCAUUUCAAAAAAGGAAUUAAAAUCAGUUCAAAAUCACCAUUUAAUUUUACUUUGCAACUCAAGUUCUUGAAAAACAUUGUCAUUUGCCAAUCAAAAUCUCAAAUUUUGAUGUUAAAAUCCAUGAAUGAUAAAAUGGAAUUGAAAUUUUAGGGUCACAAAAGCUUACCCAAAUGAUUAGCACAAGAGAUCUCUUCAAAAUUACCUCCAAGGAUUUUUCAUAACUCAAAAUGGGAAAAAAUGGGGUAAAACCCCAUAAUGGCACACCAAAAACCCUUUUUGAAGUCGCUUAAGCGAACCCCGAGAAAUAUUCGGCCUUCGCUUUCGCAGACUGGCCUUCACUUUUGCGAACUGGCAUUUGCUAAUAAUGCAAAGAUCAUGAUCAUGAACAAGCCUUCGCUUCUGCGAAGGUCUGACUUGAUCCUUUGCAAAAGCGAACCGGUCUUCGCUAAUGCUCGGGACCUCCAAAAAUUCAACGAAGACCUCCUCUAAGUCUAAAAUCAUCCUCUGAAUCAAAUAGAACUCUCGAAAUUCCAAUUUGAGUAUCCGAACCCCGAAUGUUGACCAAAGUCAAUCCAAAUACUAAAAAUUUCACAUUUUCCAACUUAGGACCGCAAAUCCUCAAAAAGACUCCGAAUUUGUAACCUNNNNNNNNNNNNNNNNNNNNNNNNNNNNNNNNNNNNNNNNNNNNNNNNNNNNNNNNNNNNNNNNNNNNNNNNNNNNNNNNNNNNNNNNNNNNNNNNNNNUAUCGAUAGGGAUAAAACAUUUUAAAAAAAAAUAGAAAAAUGACCAACCGAAUCAUUACAAUUAUUAAAUUUACAAUUAAAUAUUUAUACAUAUUUAAUAGGUGUUCUAAUACAAAUACAAAAUAAAAAUUAUUGAAUCCGUCCAAAUUUUAACUAAUACUCUCUUUUCGCCCUUGUAUAUAUGACAUAUUUGUUUGGCCGAUAGAGCUAUCUUUGUCAAUGUGUCUGACGUUCUUCAUAAUCUUAGUACAGUACUAUUUAUUAGAUGUGAGGCGUAUGGGGACAAUCUGCAUGUGAACCAUAUAAAGAAAAGACAUAAUAUCAUACACUUGUGAGGUUAGAUUCUUUGAAGGGAACCGUGGCUAGAAUUAUUAUAAAUUCAACUUUUAGUUUUAAAUUUUUAAAGUGACAAUUCAUGACCAUCUUUAAACACAAACAAAAGUUCAAAUGACCAUAAAUGCAUAAAUAUAUGGCUCAAAAGAUGACCAUAAAUAUAAAAAGGAAAAAUUAUAUAAUUACACGAUUUAAAAUAAUAUAAUUUUAAAAAAAAUUCUAUUAUUUAAAUUAAUGACAAGAAUUUUCUUUUUCCUUCUUUCUCUCUUAACAUCCGGAUACAUCACUCCAUCUCUAUCAGAUACAUUAUAACUUUGUUUGUGUACAUUGUAUCUGAUAAAACCAGCAGCAUAAGCUGUGAAACAAUAUACUUCCUCCAUUAAUGGAGGUUGAGCUUUCACCAACAAUCAAAGAAGAAGGAAAGAAAAGAUAUUAUUGAGAAUGUAAAAACUAAACUGUAAUCAAUACAAUGUAUGUGUAUAUAUACACACUGAUAGAAUAAUCCCACUUCUAACAAACGCAACUAACUAUUUAUGCUGAAAUGGUAAACGUGUGAUUCCUAACUAACUAACCAACUAACUUUGUGAAUGAGCAGUGACUAACUAACUAACUAAUUCUAUGAAUUAACAGUAUACACUAACUGAUCUAAUCUUAUCACCCCCCCUCAAGUUGGAGGUGAGUGAUGUACAGACAACUUGCUCAAUAAAUUAGUAUGCUUGACUCCAGUCAAGGCUUUAGUAAAAACAUCAGCCAAUUGUGAGUUUAUGGGGAUGUGUUGGAGUGUAAUCAAUCCUUGCUGCAGCUUGGUUCUGACAAAAUGGCAAUCCACCUCUAUGUGCUUAGUUCUCUCAUGAAAAACUGGAUUCUUAGCACUGUGCACUGCAGCUUGACUAUCACAGAAGACAUGUAUAGGUAAGGAACACUGCACUGAUAAUUCAUCAAGCAAUCUCUCUAGCCAUACUAAUUCACCCACAACCUGUCUUACAGCUCUGUAUUCAGCUUCUGCUGAAGAUAGUGACACUGUGGCUUGCUUCUUAGAUUUCCAACUAACAGGGCUAUCACCCAUGAGUACUAAAUAACCACUCACAGACUUCCUUGAAUCAGGACAAGAGGCCCAAUCUGAAUCACAGUAAGCACUGAUGGUGAGGUCAGAUUUGUUAAAGAUAAAAACUCCUAAUGUAGGAUCUUGUUGCAAAUAUCGAAGCACAUGAUAAGCUGCCUUCAAGUGAGGUUCUCUAGGAGAUUGCAUAAACUGACUGAGGUGCUGGACACUAUAUGCUAUGUCCAUCCUUGUGUGAGUAAGAAAAUUAAGCUUGCCUACUAGCUUUCUGUAAUGAGUAGGAUCUGACAAUAGUGUGCCUUCUGUAAGCUUCAGUUUCUCAGUGGAAUCCAAUGGUGAAGUGGUGGAUUUAUAAAGCAUGGAGUCAAAUUCCUUCAAGAGAUCAAGAGUAAACUUUCUCUGUGAGAUGAGGACACCAUUUUGUCUGUACAAUAUCUCCAAACCAAGAAAGUAAUGCAGCCUUCCUAAGUCUUUUAUCCUGAAUUGCUCAUGUAGGAAAGCUUUCAAAGAACCAAUCUCCUUCAUGUCAGUACCAGUUAAGAUGAUAUCAUCAACAUAUACAGCCACAAACACUAGAGAGCUUCCAUUCUUCUUAUAAAAUAGGGAAUAGUCACUAUCUGAAUGAAUGUAUCCUUUUGAGCAAAGACGGAUGGCCAGCUUGUCAUACCAUUGCCUGCUAGCCUGUUUUAAACCAUACAAAGACUUCUUCAAUCUGCAAACUAUGUCACUGCUAUCCACUGCCAGGCCAGGUGGUAAUGCCAUGUAUACUUCCUCAUUUAAAUCACCAUGGAGGAAAGCAUUAUUGACAUCUAAUUGAUACAGAUUCCAACCUUUCUUGACUGCUAAAGAAUCAGAGUUCUGACUGUGGUCAUCUUUACCACAGGUGAGAAGGUUUCAUUAUAAUCUAUUCCAGCUUGUUGAGUAUACCCCUUCACCACUAGUUUAGCCUUGAACCUUUCUAUACUGCCAUCUGCUUUGUGUUUAAUUUUGUACACCCAUUUACACCAAAUAACAUUCUUUCCUUUAGGCAAUUAACUAGUUCCCAAGUAUCAUUUGCAUACAAGGCAUCAAAUUCCUGUGUCAUCGCCACUUGCCAAACAGGAUUCAAAAUUGCCUCUUCAUAAGAAGAAGGUUCAACAUCAUGUGAAACAUUAUGGAUCAACUACUGGCUAUCAGAACAUAGUGUGGUAAAACAGACAUGAUCAGGGUGAGAUAUGAAUGAAGUGAGUGAGUGUUGUGGAUCAGGAACAUCAGUUAUGGGUGGAGAAGGAUGUAGAUUGGGUAAUGAGUAUGUGUAAUCUUUCAAGUAACGAGGAGUGUGAAGGGACCUAGUUGUUCUUCUAGGUGCAAGAGGAGCAUCACCAAGGGCAGAAACAGUAGGGUCAGCAAGAGGUAUAGGGAUUGCAGGUUCAGUGGUAGGUGCAUUAUCAGUUGUGGGAGUGUGAUCAUUAAUGACUUCAACCAAUGUGUGAGAAUUCAACAUUUCAUCAUCAACAAAGUUGUUUGUUUUUACUAGGCAUGCAAGGUGACAGUUUUAGAAUGAUGUACAAGGAACUGCAAGAUAGAAUUGAAACUAGAACCAACUGGAGCAAUAACAAAAGGAAAAAUGACUUCAUAAAAAAGAACAUCCCUGGACACAUGAAUUCUCUUGGUAGCCAAAUCUAAGACCUUGUAACCUUUUGUAUUAAAAGGGUAUCCAAUGAAAAUGUGGGGUGUUGUUCUUGGUUCAAAUUUGUCCUUAUGGUUUUUCAAGGUAGUUGGAAAGCAAAGACAUCCAAAACUUCUAAGGUGGGAGUAGGUUGGUUUCUUUUGAUAUAACAGUUCAUAUGGGGAUUUGUUCUGUAGGAGUUUUGUGGGUAGUCUAUUGAUCAAAUAAGUGGCAGUAAGGACACAUUCUCCCCAAUAUCUCAUGGGCAAUUUUGACUGAAACAGAAGUGCUCUUGCUGUCUUAAGAAGGUACUUAUGCUUCCUUUCCACCACACCAUUUUGUUGUGGUGUGUAAGGACAGGAUUUUUGGUGUAUUAUGCCUUUUUCCUGAAAGAACGGGUUGCCUCAGUGCUGGUGAAUUCCAGACCAUUAUCAGAUCUGAUGGUUUUUAAAUUGGUAUGAAAUUGAUUUUCUAUGAGGGAUAUGAAAGCUUUUAUCGUUUGAAAUGCAUUGCUUUUGCACCUAAGAAGUUGUGUCCAGGUUGAUCUACUGUAAUCAUCCACCAUGGUUAAGAAAUAGUGAUAGCCAUCAUGUGUUGGUACAUGAUAUGGUCCCCAUAAAUCAAUGUGAAGUAGUUCAAACAGUGAGCUGGUUGCAGUUGUACUCUCUGGAAAUGGCAUUCUAGUUUGUCUAGCCAUGGGACAUAUUGUACAUAUGAAGGGUUGUUUGCUGGAAAAAGUUAGGGGAAUAGUAGAUAUACUCCUCAUUUUUACAAAAGGCACAUGUCCUAAUCUAGCAUGCCAUAAGAAUUCAGUGUCAUGACUGUGAGUAUGGUUAAUAGCAGAGAAAGAAUCAACAGCAGAACAUGAAACAUGAUCAAUAGAACAAGCCUCUUUAUUGAUUUCACGAGAGUAUCUUACAUUUUGUGGUGAAGCUUGGGAUUCACUUUCAAUUGAAACUUUCUUGCAGUAGUUAAAAAGAGAAGCAGGUGGACAAUUGUGACACUUUGGACAGAAAAAUACAGACCAUUCCUUGCCUUACCAAGUGCCAGAGGGCUCUUCAGAGAAGGGCCCUGCAGUAAGACAAGAAAAACUGUUAAAACUAACUAUUCCUUUGAGUUGAACAGCCAAGCAAUGAACAGAUAUUAGAUUGAACUUGAAGCUAGGUAUAAACAAUACUUUGUACAGAGUCAGUGUUGAAUUCAACAAACAUCACCAAUUUCAGUCACUUUAACUUUGUAUCCAUUUGGUAAGGUGAUUAAGAAGGGAUAAGGCAGUGUUCUAAGGUUUGUGAGAGUGUCUCUUGUGUAUGUCAUGUGAUGAGAAGCUCCUGAAUCUAUGAUCCAAGAACCAGCAGUCAAUUUUUCACAUUUACAUGAUAAAUCACCUAUCUCAGUAAUAGAAGAAUAGCAAGCAAGUAUACCUGCUAGGUUUGCAGCUCCACUUGACAUGUUCCCUGAGCAAUCAGUUCCAUUUCCAACCUGCAGAGUCCCAAGCAAAUUGAGUAGUUGUUCAUACUGGCCUUUGGACAGGUUCAAUGGCAUUUGCCUUCCCUGCUCAGGAGUUUCUUCACACUGACUUCUAUCAUCCUCAGAAGAAUGCACAUUUGCUGCAGAUCCUGAGCCUCUUCCUCUUAGGUUUCUUGUGUUGGCUGGGUAACCAUGCAGCUUGUAGCAUCUAUCUUUAGUAUGCCCAGUUCGUUUGCAAUAUUCACAGAACAAGGUUGACCUAUUGCCAGAGCUGGAAUUCCCUCUAAAAGUAUUGGAACUGCUUGCACCUCUGCCUGCACCUCCUCUAGAAGAAUUGUAGUUUGCAUUGUAGUUUGUAUUAAAACCUUUAGGUCCUGCAUUGUAUUGUGGUGACACAGAGGCAUUUAGAGAGGUGAAUUCCAAAGCCAUGUGACUGAGAGGCUUCAUUUCCCUCUGCCUUUCCUCUUGUGACAGAAUGGAAAAUGUUUGUGCCAUAGUUGGUAGAUCAGACAUAAAUGUUUGUGCCAUAGUUGGUAGAUCAGGCAUCAUGAGGAUGUUUCCACGUACAAUAGUAUACAUCUCAUUUAGGCCCAUCAAAAAAUGUAUAAGUCUUCUAUCUUGCUCAGCCUUAUGCAUCCUCGUUUUUCCACCACAAAUGCACACACAAGUGCAUUGAGAAUUGACAUCAAGAGUGUUCAUUUCUUCCCACAACUUCUUCAUCUUAGUAUAGUAACCGGUGACAUCCAAAUUGCCUUGCACAAGGUCAUUUAUCUCCUUCUGUAGUUGAUAGAGUUUGCAACCAUUAGUUUGGUCAUAUCUAUCCUCCAACUCCUCCCAAAGUUCCUUGGCAUUAUUAACGUAUUGCAAGCUAUCUCGCAGAUCUGGUGAGAGAGAAUUUAAAAUCCAAGAGGUCACCAUGUCGUCACACCUUUCCCACUGCAUGAAGGUUGGAUCUGCAGAAUUUGGCUUCACAAUUUUUCCAUUGAUGAAUCCAGUUUUACUCUUAACAGAUAAAGCCCGAAGAACUGCUCGUCUCCAUGACCUAUAGCUAGUUCCAUCAAUAACAGCAGGAAGUAAAGUAGAGCCUGCAUUCUCUGAGGGAUGCAAAUAGAAGGGGGAAUUGAAAUCCAAUCGAGUUAAAGUGUUGGUAGCAGUCGUGUCACCUGGAAUGUCUCCCAUAGAAGAAGAUGAAGGAGAAUGCAAAUACAGAUGAAUUAUGAAGAUGAACUCACAAUAAGCAAGUUUGAAUCGAAACAGAGGAACAAUAAUGAGAUCGUUCAGAGAAAAUCAGGGAGAAGAUGACGGCCAGACAAAUAUCGGCAAAUCGAGCUGAAUUCAGUGCUCAUGACGAGAGAGAGGAGCAGGAAUCUUAUGGCUCUGAUACCAUGAUAAAACCAGCAGCAUAAGCUGUGAAACAAUAUACUUCCUCCAUUAAUGGAGGUUGAGCUUUCACCAACAAUCAAAGAAGAAGGAAAGAAAAGAUAUUAUUGAGAAUGUAAAAACUAAACUGUAAUCAAUACAAUGUAUGUGUAUAUAUACACACUGAUAGAAUAAUCCCACUUCUAACAAACGCAACUAACUAUUUAUGCUGAAAUGGUAAACGUGUGAUUCCUAACUAACUAACCAACUAACUCUGUGAAUGAGCAGUGACUAACUAACUAACUAAUUCUAUGAAUUAACAGUAUACACUAACUGAUCUAAUCUUAUCAGUAUCUGGUAUAAUUAAUGUUAUUGUGAAUAUAUAACCCCAAUUAUUUCAAACCUAAAUCAGUAUGAAUCUGCUUUAUAGUUAUGUUAUCUGAUAAUAUAUAACUUAAGUAUAUGAUACAUAACAUAUUGUCCUCCAUAGUUUAGUGCCAUCGUAAGAUGAAGUCCUUCAUUGCCUUUGGUCGCCUCUUCUGUUAACUCUAUGCCUUUCUGUAAUUUUAUCGGAAGUCUGGAUCUACCUCCAAUAACAGACACCCGUAC
rnacentral:lncRNA from 1 species